rnacentral:rRNA from 1 species
GCCGGCAGCUAGCUCUCUGCAACUCUCACAUGGUCCCACUGAAGCUAAGCAGGGCUGCGCCUGGUCAGUACCUGGAUGGGACACCACAUGGGAAAGCUAGGUUGCUGCCGGAA